GAAAUAUACUUAAUAAGAACUUCUAAUUCUUAAUAAAAUGUUUACUCAUUUAUAUUUCU
rnacentral:tRNA from 1 species